UUUUAAUUGAUGGCUAAUCUCCUGCUAUUGAACCUAAUAACUUACAAAUAAAAAUGAUUCUCUGCAGCCUCUGAUUCUCAUUAAUCUCCUUUUCAUGUCCCGUUAAAAAAGGGGUAAAUGAAGUGCAUGCAGAAGGAAAGAGAGUAAAGGACACUUCCCUGGUCAUCUACCGAUUUAUUCUGCCCCCUGGUCAUGCCUGGUAGUGGCUACAGGGAGUUGCUCUUUGGAAGGCUGAGUAUAUUAAAACCAAAUAACACUGCUGGAAAAAUUCCUGCUGCUUUGAUUCAAAGCCAGUUACACCUUCUCAGAAGACACUGAUUGUCACACUUUUCCCAGCAACACCAUUUGCUUGGAGGUUAUGAAUUAUAACUGAUAUAAUCAAUAAAAGCUAAACAACAUUUUUAUAAAAGUCACUGGUUGACAUAUAUGUGGAACAAGAGACAAGAAACAUG